rnacentral:lncRNA from 1 species
GGAUCAGUUUGUAAAGGUCAACUUUGAUGUAGCCUAUGAUGGGAACCUACGGCAAUUGGCAGCGGGAAUUGUGGCCAGGGAUAGCGAAGGAAAUACUCUUUUAUCAUGUACAGUGAUUCAUCAUCAAGUCGCAUCAGCUUUCGCUGUAGAAGCAAUAGCUUGCCGGAUAGCAACUCAAAUAGGCAGGGACAUGCAAUAGCCAAACAUUAUUAUUGAAGGGGAUGCAUUAUCAAUUAUAAAGAAGUGCAAACUAAAAAGUUAUGAUAAAUCUAUGAUCGGAGCAUAUAUCCAAGAUAUACAUCAGCUACUGGAAAAAUCUGGAAAAUGCUAUUUUGAGAACAUUCCCAGAGAAGCGAACAGCUUGGCACAUAAACUAGCGACGGAGACAUUAAAGAAAAAAGAAGAGUCUUACCUGAUUGGAAGAGUCCCGGGGUAUGCUGAGAACCUGGAAGAAACUGAAAAAAGGGCAGGAACAAAUGUGGAGAAGAAAUGAAAGGUUAUAGAAAAAAGCAGCUGUAUAGUGGAAAUUCAAAGGCGUGGUGGACAAGGCUUCAUUGAAAUCUGGAAACGUCUCAUUGAUGAAAUGAAAGAUGAUUUUGAAAGAGGGAAAUGGAUUUUUCUGAUUGGGCAAGAU